ACUCCUACGGGAGGCAGCAGUGGGGAAUAUUGCACAAUGGGGGAAACCCUGAUGCAGCCAUGCCGCGUGUGUGAAGAAGGCCUUCGGGUUGUAAAGCACUUUCAGUAGGGAGGAAGGUAGUGUAGUUAACACCUGCAUUAUUUGACGUUACCUACAGAAGAAGCACCGGCUAACUCCGUGCCAGCAGCCGCGGUAAUACGGAGGGUGCGAGCGUUAAUCGGAAUUACUGGGCGUAAAGCGCAUGCAGGCGGCUUGUUAAGUCAGAUGUGAAAGCCCGGGGUCUUAACCUCGGAAUUGCAUUUGAAACUGGCAGGCUAGAGUCUUGUAGAGGGGUUAGAAUUUCAGGUGUAGCGGUGAAAUGCGUAGAGAUCUGAAGGAAUACCAGUGGCGAAGCGGCCCCUGGACAAAGACUGACGCUCAGAUGCGAAAGCGUGGGAGCAAACAGGAUUAGAUACCCCUGGUAGACUGUCA
rnacentral:rRNA from 1 species